rnacentral:rRNA from 1 species
AGUGAACGCUGGCGGUAGGCCUAACACAUGCAAGUCGAACGGCAGCACAGUAAGAGCUUGCUCUUACGGGUGGCGAGUGUCGGACGGGUGAGGAAUACAUCGGAAUCUACUUUUUCGUGGGGGAUAACGUAGGGAAACUUACGCUAAUACCGCAUACGACCUACGGGUGAAAGCCGGGGAUCUUCGGACCUUGCGCGAUUGAAUGAGCCGAUGUCGGAUUAGCUAGUUGGCGGGGUAAAGGCCCACCAAGGCGACGAUCCGUAGCUGGUCUGAGAGGAUGAUCAGCCACACUGGAACUGAGACACGGUACAGACUCCUACGGGGGGCAGCGGUGGGGAAUAUUGGACGAUGGGCGCAAGCCGGAUCCAGCCAUACCGCGUGGGGGAAGAAGGACUAAGGGUGGUAGAGCCCUGUUGUUGGGAAAGAAAAGCAGCAGUUUAAUACCCCGCUGUUAUGACGGUACCCAAAGAAUAAGCACCGGCUAACUUCGUG